rnacentral:ncRNA from 1 species
AAAAGGUUUGGUCCCAGCCUUUCUAUUAACUGUUAGUAAGAUUACACAUGCAAGUAUCAGCACUCCGGUGAAGACGCCCUUCAAAUCACACAAAUGAUCCGAAGGAGCGGGUAUCAAGCACACUACCAAAAGUAGCUCAAGACACCUCGCCUAGCCACACCCCCACGGGAUACAGCAGUGACAAAAAUUAAGCCAUGAACGAAAGUUCGACUAAGCUAUACUAACUCCUAAGGGUUGGUAAAUUUCGUGCCAGCCACCGCGGUCAUACGAUUAACCCAAGUUAAUAGACAAACGGCGUAAAACGUGUUAAGGAAACUCCACCAAAUAAAGUUAAAUUUAGCCUACGCUGUAAAAAGCUUAAGUCUAGACAAAAAUAAACUACGAAAGUGACUUUAAAUACUCCGACCACACGAUAGCUAAGACACAAACUGGGAUUAGAUACCCCACUAUGCUUAGCCCUAAACUCAAAUAAUCAACACAACAAUAUUAUUCGCCAGAGCACUACUAGCAAUAGCUUAAAACUCAAAGGACUUGGCGGUGCUUUAUAUCCCUCUAGAGGAGCCUGUUCUGUAAUCGAUAAACCCCGAUAAACCUCACCGACCCUUGCUAAUACAGUCUAUAUACCGCCAUCUUCAGCAAACCCUAAAAAGGAACCAUAGUAAGCAAAAAUAUAGAACAUAAAAACGUUAGGUCAAGGUGUAGCCAAUGGGCCGGGAAGAAAUGGGCUACAUUUUCUAAAAUAGAACAUAUACGAAAAUUUUCGUGAAACCGAAAAUAGAAGGAGGAUUUAGUAGUAAAUUAAGAAUAGAGAGCUUAAUUGAAUUAGGCCAUGAAGCACGCACACACCGCCCGUCACCCUCCUCAAGUACCAAAAAUACAAACAACUAACAUAUAAAAGAGUAUACACAUAUGAGAGGAGACAAGUCGUAACAAGGUAAGCGUACUGGAAAGUGCGCUUGGACAAAUC